AUCCAGCUGACGAGUUGUAAAUAAGACGACAUGUACGUCAUGGAU
rfam:Schistosoma mansoni strain Puerto Rico chromosome 2, complete genome